CACUUGCAGUGUCAUGGAGGAGUUAGGGGAACCCUCUUUUGCCUAGGAGUGCAAGAGAGAUUGAACCCUUCCAGUUUGCCAGGAAUUAAUUUGCCCCUGGAGACAACACCAGUGAACCAAGUGUGAAAAAGCAAAUUCCAGGCUACAUAGCUCAUGCUACAGUAAACGAGGGCUGAUCGGAAAUGCUCUCCCCAUUUUCUCCACCACAUUAACAGGUGGCAACAAUGGCGGUGAGUGGGAGAGGCAAUUUCUGUGAUGGGGGAGGAGUGAGAAAAUUAUUUUUUUUAAAUCCCAUUUGUUAUUUUUCCUUCUAGAGAAUGACAAUUGUUACAAUGCAGCAUAAUUCACGGGGCAUUCUGGGGAAGAAUUUAUGGAGGUCCCAUGCUGCCGCUGCCAUACCAUCAUAGAGAAGCAGGGGGAAAAAGGACUGCCUGCCACCAGCCAAGGUGACAUCACCCAGACCUUCCUCUUCUGUCUGCAGCGUGUGGCAGCUGCACGGUUUCGUUCCAGAAAUUUCCGCCGCCUCUCAUCUGGGUCUUCAUCCACCACUCUCCUUCGGCGACCCCCGCAGUAAAGAAAGCAUUCGAUUCAAGUGUGAAACAUUUAGAUCACUCCAGUGACAAGUAUUAAUCACAAAAUGGAACAAAUCUUGGGAGCUUAAUUUCAUCCAUAAUUUAAAGACAUGACUUUUCCUUUGCACAAAACAUAGGCCUUGUUUACAUGGACAGUUAUCCUGCAGUGUAACAAUGUGUUAAUUGGCUUUCACCUUGUAUAUAUGAAUGAUAUCUAAGACUGAAGCAAGUUAAAAGCUGGGAAUGAAGUUGUUCAUUUCCCUACAAUGAUGGGCUGAUUUAUUAUUAUUAAUUUUUAUCAUUACAGCUACUACUAAUGGAUGACAUGAUGUGCAGCAAUACAGCACCAGAAUGCUCUGCCCCAGGGCUGCUGUGGUCUCGUAAGCUGCCCCAACACUGUUCAAAAUGAGCAGCUGAGCAAUCAGCGCUACCGCAAUUACUCUCAUUCAGGAUAAUGGGAGUAACUGUGGUAGCACCAAUUACAGAACUGAGGUAUUCAUAACUUAUAUUCUGAACAGUGUUAGACUUACUUAGGAGUCCGAAGCAACCUUGAUGUGGCACACAGUGGCAUCGUACUGCUGUGUAUCAUGUCAGCCAUCAUCAUCAUCAUCAUCAUCAUCAUCAUCAUUAUUAUUAUUGGCUGACAUUCUCCACAGGGUAAUGCGGACAGUUCAGCACCAGCCCUGCAUGUGUUUCAAACAUUGCCCAUGCUGUUGUGGAACACCCCUGUUCAGCUGUGACUUCAUUUUAAGCACAAUUGUGCGUGAUGCCUAUAUGCUGCGGAUAAUAUUAGCCACUAUUACUAUUACUAUUACUAUUAUUAUCUCAUGGAAGUGCCCCAAAUUGUAAGCUGAGUGCAGGUGAACUAAGGGAUGAUUCAAAUAUUCAGAAACAUUGAUGAUAAAGUCCUGCACAGAAAUGUAAGGCAUGUGGGAGAUUCCUCACCCCCAUUUCCACCUAUCCAUGUCUAUGCAGGAACAAUAUUUCUAGCCUAGCUUUCUUGUUGGUAUGCUAGCUUUACAAAAGCAAGGAGUGUUAGAGAUGGGUAUGCUUUCAAGAAAUCAAUCCCUCAGGUGCCUUCUGAUGUGCCACACAGGACUAUUAUUCUGUAGCUCUGAACAUUUGAAUCACCAGAGUUUGCAAUUGUGCCUGGAAUUGACAUUUUACCUUGGCACCACAAAAGCUUUCAGCUGUUGGCUGGUUUCCAAUAUCAAUAAGCAUGGUAAAGUCAAAGGCUAGCAUGCAUUGAAACUCCAAUCUGUGAACAUGGGUGAAGCAGCAAUGACCUGAUAAAAUGACUACUCACAUUACGAAGUCAAGACUUGAAUACUGUACUUGAUGAAAAUGUCACAUGAUCACUUCAUAACAUGCCCAAGAUCAGCCCUAAGUUCAAAUUGUAGCUAAUGCCUAGGGUUGUGUGAAUUGGUCCUUAUUGUCUACGACCCCCAUAUUAACUCAAGAAGGUUUAUGUUGAGUAAUGCCAGACACAUUUUUGCAGGGAUAUGGAUGCUGCCUCCUUGGCAAUGCACUGGAAGUGUAAAGCCCUCAGAGGUCUCUUUUAAAUUGUCAACAUAACAUCAAAGGCGACAAGAAAUUCCUUCUGAGUCAUCAGUGGGUUGUUUAUAUUUAUGGUUUAUGGACACCAAAAUCUUUGCACAUGCCUUUCUCCCUAUUUAUUCAACCUAUAAAUACUGUUUUUAAGCUCUGCUAUUCAGAACCGUUCUCUUGUACAUAGAAAACAAACUUUUCCAUGCCUUCUUGCUUUCUUUUAAAUGAAUAGGGAUCAUUUUCUAUAAAUGAGACUUACAUUUUUGGUGGUAUAUAAAUGGUUUAAUUAUUUAUUUAUUUAAUUAAUUAAUUAAGAAACAAGCUUCUCCCAGUUAUUGUACAGCAGUUCCAAGACCCAUAAAGAAAUGGGACAGAAACAUUAUCAUUAGCAAUAUUUAACGUUAAGGGCUGCUGAC